AUGAAAGAUGGUGUUGACUCCCA
rnacentral:piRNA from 1 species